rnacentral:rRNA from 1 species
AGUGAACGCUGGCGGUAGGCCUAACACAUGCAAGUCGAACGGCAGCACAGUAAGAGCUUGCUCUUCCGGGUGGCGAGUGGCGGACGGGUGAGGAAUACAUCGGAAUCUACUUUUUCGUGGGGGAUAACGUAGGGAAACUUACGCUAAUACCGCAUACGACCUACGGGUGAAAGCAGGGGAUCUUCGGACCUUGCGCGAUUGAAUGAGCCGAUGUCGGAUUAGCUAGUUGGCGGGGUAAAGGCCCACCAAGGCGACGAUCCGUAGCUGGUCGGAGAGGAUGGUAGGCCACACUGGAACUGGGACACGGUCCAGACGCCUACGGGAGGCAGCAGUCGGGAAUAUGGGACAAUAGGCGCAAGCCUGAUCCAGCCAGACCGCGUGGGUGAAAGAGGCCUUCGGGUUGUAAAGCCCUUUUGUUGGGAAAGAAAAGCAGCAGGUUAAUACCCCGCUGUUCUGACGGUACCCAAAGAAUAAGCACCGGCUAACUUCGUG